UGAUGAUGUAGCACCACAAGCACUAGAUGGGGGAUCAUGGUUUAUAGCCCAAAUUCAUGAUGAAUUAUUGUUUGAAGUGGAAGAUUCUCAAAUUCAGGAGUUUUCAGGAGUUCUCUGAGCAUUGGAACCAUGAAGGAGCCAAACCUUGAGGCAAAGAAUGCCCAGGUUGGGAUGUAGAGCAUGUCUUUCAUUCUGCAAGAGGAGGUAUGGAGUGGAUCAGAGAGAGAUGG